GUGCCGCAUCGCGUUGUUUAUUUAUUAUAAAGUGUCUAAACAGAUGCGUUCGCAGAAAAAAGUGUAAGUGCAACAAGUCCGAGCUGGACUUUGUCAAAGCCGUCCUCCCGCUCUGGCCCCGCCUGUAUGGGAAUCUGUCCACCGACGUAGAACAGGCGGCGUUCGUCACGAAGGCAGAUCUAACGCCCCGAAAACAAGUACCAGCGCGUACUGAUCGUCCUUUCCCUAAGCAAGGUCCCCGAGGAACAGCUCCACAAAUCGGUCGACAAACACGGGGCCCUGCUUUACAAAAUCCCGCCAUUCUGUCGGCGUGGUUCUAGGUCGUGUCGGCGUCCCUUCAGCACGAAUAUGAACGAGACGAAUCCGACGGUGGAGACGCACGUUUGGAAUUCGAUCGUGCUGGUGCCGAAGCAGAUUACGGACUGGAGUGGGCACCUGAACUUUGACAAGAUUGUCUUUCCGAUGUUGUGGAAGGUGUUAAAGAGCGGAGCGAGUGGGAGUUCUGCGUGCGAUUUUCCGCACUAUUAUUAUAAUAAAUACUGCUUGCAAAAAAUACAGUGAAGAGUUCAAGCUCUAAAUGCUCUCAAUA